rnacentral:rRNA from 1 species
GGGUCAGUAGGUUGGUCGUGCCACCGGUACGUACUGGUCUCACUGAUUCCUCCUUCCUGAAGAACCGUGAUGCCAUUAAUUUGGUGUUGCGGGGAAACAGGACUGUUACUUUGAAAAAAUUAGAGUGUUUAAAGCAAGCUAACGCUUGAAUACAUUAGCAUGGAAUGAUGAAAUAGGACGAUCGAUCCUAUUUUGUUGGUUUCUAGGAUUGACGUA